AGCGAAUAGAUACCCCGGUAGUCCUAGCCGUAAACGAUGGAUACUAGGUGUAAGUGGUAUCGACCCCACUUGUGCCGCAGCUAAACGCAUUAAGUAUCCCGCCUGGGGAGUACGGCCGCAAGGCUGAAACUCGAAGGAAUUGACGGGGGCCCGCACAAGCGGUGGAGCAUGUGGUUUAAUUCGUUACUAACCGAAGAACCUUACCCAGGCUUGACAUCCCCGGACAGCUUAUGAAAGUAAGCCUUCUCCCUCACAAGGGGAGACUGGGUGACAGGUGUUGCAUGGCUGUCGUCAGCUCGUGUCGUGAGAUGUUGGGUUUAAGUCCCGCAACGAGCGCAACCCUCAUCGCAUGUUGCCAGCGU
rnacentral:rRNA from 1 species